AACACAUUAUAAAGUUUAUUAUUAUCACUAUGGUAACCAUGUUUAUGUUUGUUACCUGCUAACUCAAACACAUUCUGUAGGUGUCACAUUUUGAGGACUGUAAGUUCACACACUUUCAGACUUUUGCAAACCGGAGUUGGAGAUUGCAGAGAGAAGGCGAAGUGAUAAUAAAGGAGGAUACUGUGGGUGUUGGAGAGGACCCACUGAAAAAUGUGAGUGCACGAAAGGAUCUCACAGAUGAACAUGUGGCCCCUGACACUCCAGCCACCUCUUCUGCACCAGUCUCACCUCCAGCUGAGGCUCAGACGAACAAAUCAAAGAAGGCUUCCUGGUGGCGCAGAUGGCUUUUUUGUGAGAAAAAGUCAAAGGUUUUUCCCAAAAAUGAAGACAAGGCAGAAGACACGGUCGUGCCACCUUCUGAACCCCAACAGAGGUACGAU